rnacentral:rRNA from 1 species
GUAGGGUGCAAGCGUUAAUCGGAAUUACUGGGCGUAAAGCGUGCGCAGGCGGUUUUGUAAGUCUGACGUGAAAUCCCCGGGCUCAACCUGGGAAUUGCGUUGGAGACUGCAAGGCUGGAGUCUGGCAGAGGGGGGUAGAAUUCCACGUGUAGCAGUGAAAUGCGUAGAGAUGUGGAGGAACACCGAUGGCGAAGGCAGCCCCCGUGGGUCAAGACUGACGCUCAUGCACGAAAGCGUGGGGAGCAAACAGGAUUAGAUACCCUGGUAGUCCACGCCCUAAACGAUGUCUACUAGUUGUCGGGUCUUAAUUGACUUGGUAACGCAGCUAACGCGUGAAGUAGACCGCCUGGGGAUACGGUCGCAAGAUUA